GGGCCUAUAGCUCGGUUGUAGAGCUUUUCACUGCAGAAGAAGAGGUCACCAGUUUGAACCUGUUCGGGCCCU
rnacentral:tRNA from 1 species